UGACCACCUGCAUUUGCAGGUAAUGCCAUACGGACAGGCGGGUCAGCUGCCGG
rnacentral:sRNA from 12 species